GACGAACGCUGGCGGCGUGCUUAACACAUGCGAGUCGAACGGAAAGGCCCUGCUUUUGUGGGGUGCUCGAGUGGCGAACGGGUGAGUAACACGUGAGUAACCUGCCCUUGACUUUGGGAUAACUUCAGGAAACUGGGGCUAAUACCGGAUAGGAGCUCCUGCUGCAUGGUGGGGGUUGGAAAGCUUCGGCGGUUGGAGAUGGACUCGCGGCUUAUCAGCUUGUUGGUGGGGUAGUGGCUUACCAAGGCUUUGACGGGUAGCCGGCCUGAGAGGGUGACCGGCCACAUUGGGACUGAGAUACGGCCCAGACUCCUACGGGAGGCAGCAGUGGGGAAUAUUGCACAAUGGGCGGAAGCCUGAUGCAGCAACGCCGCGUGCGGGAUGACGGCUUUCGGGUUGUAAACCGCUUUCGCCUGUGACGAAGCGUGAGUGACGGUAAUGGGUAAAGAAGCACCGGCUAACUACGUG
rnacentral:rRNA from 1 species